rnacentral:tRNA from 1 species
UCUAAUAUGGCAGAUUAGUGCAAUAGAUUUAAGCCCUAUAUAUAAAGAACACUUUUAUUAGAA